UAUGAAUAUUAGCUGAACCAACACUAUCCUGCUGCCCCAGACAGGUGGAGCCCAGUCCUUUCUGGGCAGAGCAGGGGCCACUCAGCUGGAUGGCGGAGGACCUCCUGGACAUGCCCCAGGUUUGGCAGUGGAUGGAGAUGCAGUGAAUCAACAGCAGAUGGAGAUGAAGAAGUGGGGGGCAGGGGAUUGUCCCCCCUCUCCUCCUAGCCCCCCACCCCAAUGUGAUGUGGAGCAUUGAGACAGGGGCAGGGGCAGGAAUAGUGGUCUCAAGCUGUACCAAGAUACAUGGGCUUCCUCUGCAGCAGCAGCAGGCACUUUUGAACAGCUCUGCCUUUGUCUCAGAUCAAGUGAGUGCUCCAGAGCAGACUGAGUAAAUCUGGAGCAGCCUCCAUGUGCUUCACCUAAGUAACUAGCAGAGAGAGGAAAAACAUUUUUUCCCCCUGCCCCUGGCAUGAGCGCUGUGCAGCUGGAUUCCUGUCUGUGCAGAGGAUGAGGAGGGCCUUUGUCUGCACAUAGGUUCUUUGUCAUUAAGCUUCAGCCAAAGACUGAGACAGAAAAAGGGCCAGAUAAUGUGACCCAGCAUGUUAGAUUGCAGUGGGGCCGGUGUGCGGGAGUCACUCCACAGCCAGAGCCAGCACACGAGGCUGAAUCACACCCAUGCACUGACUGUGUGUGCCGUUCCCCAGCUGGAUCUGGCCCUGUGUGGACCAACCUCUUGAGUCAUGACUCAUGAGCAAGACUUGGCCUACAGAGCUGGAAGGUUGAGUACCACUGUCCUGUGAGGUCAGAGGAAGCGAGUCCCACAUACAGAGAGGGGUUUAACCCAGGCUGGCACUGGAGUGAAUGGAAAGCCAGGCACAUCCUGGAUCUAGAGGAUCCCCCUCCGGAGGUGUGGGAAUCACACACGAUAGCAGCCUCCCAGCCUGCUGGGCACCGCAGGGAGCCCAUUCCUGCAGCCACGUUGGGCUCCUUAUCUUGCUGUGGGCUGAGGAACAGGAAUUGGCAGAAACACGCCACCACAUCCCCCUGCCCUCCUUACCCGGCGGCUCCCAGGGAUCGGGGGUGGAGCCGGGCCGAUCACGCGGCCUCGUCCCCUCCUCAGCUCCGCAGCUGCACGUCCAAGAUGCCCGGACGGGUCGGCCUCCCCGGGAGUCACCCCAGCAGGCUGAGUCUGCAGCAGGUCCCAGGGGCAUUGCAAGGGCCUGCAGAGGGCUUUCCCGCCCCAUCCCUGCGCAAAGAGGUCCGAAGCGCUGCUCGCUUUUGUGCGUGAAUCUCCCCGGCCCCGCGCAGCGCGGGGGCACCAGGCACAGCAACCCCCUGCACGGGCUCCUGCUCCCCGGGUCCUCCCGCUCCUAGCUCCGGGGCUGCGGCUCCGCCUCGGGUCCCGCAUGGAGCCCCAGACACCGGCCUCCGCCGCGGCAGCAGAUCCAGCUGCCCAGAGUGGGGCACUCACUGGUCCCAGACAGCAAGGAUUCUCCACACCACUCAUCACAUAUCCUUGGGUGGCCCCACCAUCCACUCAGGCACUGCCCUGUCUCUGCCUCUGCCAUGUGUCUGCCAAGACUCUGCUGCCGCUUCCCUGUGCUUGCCUGGAGCUCUUGCCAUGGGAGGGGCUGCUUCUGACUGCUUGGGGCUCUAGCUUGUUGAGGAGUGAGCUGGUGCACAACUCGGGUUGGACCUAAAGUAGAGAAUCACCCAGCAGGUUUUCCAGGUGAACAGCACACUCUGCCCAGCUGUGCAUGCAGGGUCUGUUGGGCUGAGUCAUGAAUAGUCUUUUCUUCAGAGACAAGCAAGAUCCUGUGGCAGUCUUUCCCUGAGGGUCCCACUACACAAGCAGGUAAAGACACAAUGGGAUCUGAUGCAAAAUCUACACAAUCAUACCUCCUGCCACGACAUACAUGCAUGGCGGGAGGCCUGAUUGAAAAUCAUGCAUUAGAUCCCAUCCUGCCUUAUUGUUGAUGCAAGGAAAGCAUGAUCCCAGGCUCCUGCUGGACCAGGAACAAGCAAGAUCCUGAAGCUGCUGCAAUCUCCCAGCCACAAGGCACCUCAUGCACCCCAUGGACCUGGAGAUCAUAGCAGUGCCCCAGGACCCAGCAUGUGCAGCUGGUGGGCACUGCUGGACUGAGAGUCCCUUCAGCUAUGUGAUUCGCAGUCCUGGCUGUGCAUGGUGCACCCCUGCACCUGGGAGUCUAGUUAGCUAAUAGGGCUCCUAACUUCAUGAGUAGACUGUGCUACAUGUGCACAUUAAAACUGUAUAGCAACUUACCUGGCAGGGGAAAACCAUGACCACUAAGGUGGAUUUCCUAAAGUGCACCUGGGGACAGCUGCUUUUCUGGCAUGGGGCAGUACACACUGAGGUUUUGGCUUUAUGCCCACUUUAUGGAAAUGGGAGGCUUCUCCAUAGUUUGCUCCUAUGGCCAUGCAGCUGAGGGUGAGAAAAACCUGGGGGCAUCCGAACCCCAAGGCUUCAGGCUUGGGCCUGCAUGUAGGAUGCCUACCAAAGAAUUUGGAAACAUCUGAAGCCGCAGGAGGGGGUGAAGGAUAUUGGCUAGUUGUAGGGCCCCUUAUGGUUGUGGACUGACUCACAGAUUUGGACUUGAUUUAAUUGAUUUGGCUUGGAACAUGAAACAUUUUCUUUUUAAAAAAAGCACAUUAAAACUGGAUAGCAGCCACCUAUAAAGUACUGCACGUUUUCCAGCAAUUCUAAUAUAAUAAAAGGCUUAGUCUGUC